rnacentral:rRNA from 1 species
CGGACGGGUGAGUAACGCGUGAGAAUCUGCCUUCAGGAUGGGGAUAACAGUGGGAAACCACUGCUAAUACCCAAUAUGCCGAAAGGUGAAAAUUAUUUUGCCUGAAGAGGAGCUCGCGUCUGAUUAGCUAGUUGGUGGGGUAAAAGCUUACCAAGGCAACGAUCAGUAGCUGGUCUGAGAGGAUGAGCAGCCACACUGGGACUGAGACACGGCCCAGACUCCUACGGGAGGCAGCAGUGGGGAAUUUUCCGCAAUGGGCGAAAGCCUGACGGAGCAAUACCGCGUGAGGGAGGAAGGCCUUUGGGUUGUAAACCUCUUUUCUCAGGGAAGAAGAUCUGACGGUACCUGAGGAAUAAGCAUCGGCUAACUCCGUGCCAGCAGCCGCGGUAAUACGGAGGAUGCAAGCGUUAUCCGGAAUUAUUGGGCGUAAAGCGUCCGCAGGUGGUUUUUCAAGUCUGCUGUCAAAGACCGAAGCUCAACUUCGGAAAGGCAGUGGAAACUGGAAAACUAGAGUUCGGUAGGGGUAGCGGGAAUUCCCAGUGUAGCGGUGAAAUGCGUAGAUAUUGGGAAGAACAUCGGUGGCGAAGGCGCGCUACUGGACCGAAACUGACACUCAGGGACGAAAGCUAGGGGAGCGAAUGGGAUUAGAUACCC